rnacentral:lncRNA from 1 species
CUCUGGCCUCAGCCUUGAGCAGCCCAGAUAGGGAAGGACCCCUUACCCCACCCAGCACGGGGUCCUGGGGGAGACACUGUGAAGAUGGAGCUGUUCCAGGCACUGUUGUUCCAACUUCGAGCCUGGUAACUGCUCUCUUUAAAACACAACGCAGGGAGGUCUGGCUUGAAGCGGGUAGUAGGAGCUGUGUGAAGGAAGAAAGAGGAAGCGCCCCUUGCCCUGACCAUUCAGGACCCAGGGUGUUAGAUUAAAGCAGGAUCAAAUCAGAUGCUGGUCAGAGCCCACAGUAGGCACAAGAUGGAGACACUUUUGGAUUUCUUGAAGGUGCAUCAUUAUCAGGAAGGCAGCUGGACCCCUGUCACCCAUAUGAAGAGACCCCAGAAGGGCUGUGGGAGGACUGUUCUCUGUCCAUGACCCUCCAGGAGUCUCCAGAGGCAAGAAAGUGUGUCACCCAGCCCUUCGGCCUUCUCCCUCUAGUCCUGACCCUGGGACUGCAUUCUCCACCUUCCUUGAUGGAUGGGUGACAUGUGGCUCAGGGUUUCAUGGAAAAUUCUUCAAGGCCUUAAUUUAUCUGAUAUGACAGCUCAGGGUCUUAGAAUCUGAGAAGGCAGCUUUAAGAGCCAGAGGGGAGACAAGUCUCAACUCUACACUUGGUUACUCCGGGAAGGCCCCAGAACCUGGGGCUCUGGGUCAGGGGUGGGGAUGACCAGGAGAGCCAUCCACGCAGGCAAGAAAGGGAGGCAUGAGGCAGCCAAGAAACUGGUGAUGUUCAAGUCGGCCACCAGGGGGCAGCAUGAAGCCAAGGACAGGCCUCCUAGACUCGGACUCUGUUCUGGCCAGGGGCUGGAAGACCCUGAACACCCGG